rnacentral:rRNA from 1 species
UCUGGUUGAUCCUGCCAGAGGUUACUGCUAUCGAGGUUCGACUAAGCCAUGCGAGUCGAAUGUAGCAAUACAUGGCGAACUGCUCAGUAACACGUGGACAACCUGCCCUUAGGUUGGGUAUAAACCCGGGAAACUGGGUAUAAUACCCGAUAGGUCUCGAUUGCUGGAAUGCAUCGAGAUUUAAAGCUCCGGCGCCUAAGGAUGGGUCUGCGGCCUAUCAGGUAGUAGUGGGUGUAGCGUACCUACUAGCCUACGACGGGUACGGGUUGUGAGAGCAAGAGCCCGGAGAUGGAUUCUGAGACACGAAUCCAGGCCCUACGGGGUGCAGCAGGCGCGAAAACUUUACAAUGCUGGCAACAGCGAUAAGGGAACCUCGAGUGCCAGGUUACAAAUCUGGCUGUCGAGAUGCCUAAAAAGCAUUUCAUAGCAAGGGCCGGGCAAGACCGGUGCCAGCCGCCGCGGUAACACCGGCGGCUCGAGUGGUAACCGUUAUUAUUGGGUCUAAAGGGUCUGUAGCCGGCCGGAUAAGUCUCUUGAGAAAUCUGGCAGCUUAACUGUCAGGCUUUCAGGAGAUACUGUCUGGCUCGAGGCCGGGAGAGGUGAGAGGUACUUCAGGGGUAGGGGUGAAAUCUUGUAAUCCUUGAAGGACCACCAGUGGCGAAGGCGUCUCACCAGAACGGACCUGACGGCAAGGGACGAAAGCUAGGGGCACGAACCGGAUUAGAUACCCGGGUAGUCCUAGCCGUAAACGAUACUCGCUAGGUGUCGGCCACGGUGCGACCGUUGUCGGUGCCGUAGGGAAGCCGUGAAGCGAGCCACCUGGGGAAGUACGGCCGCAAGGCUGAAACUUAAAGGAAUUGGCGGGGGAGCACCACAACGGGUGGAGCUUGCGGUUUAAUUGGAUUCAACGCCCGGAA